CUCGUGAGUCGUGACGUCACGUCACUCCUCUCUCUGCAGGUGUUCUUCAGAUCUUGGAAGCAUUAUUUACAUGCCAGGAAGUGACUGGAAUGCAGGUGUCUUACCUAUUUAACAAAUUGAAGCCCUGGUCUGAGAGUCGUACCUUGUACCGUUCUCUCAGAUGGUUGUAGGGAUAGUCGGCAAACUGUGUCUUUUUUACAACAGGGAGCUGGCUGUAGCCAGGCCAUAUUUUUUCGCUUGGGGUUCCAAGGUCCUUAGGAAGCAAAAGAUAAGAUAUUUUAUUUUUUUUCUCUUCAUGAAGGUGUAAGAAUAUCAUUAGAAAAUAUAAUUGUGUGAUAUACAAACAGUUACUCGUGUACAAACAGUUACUCAUGAACAGAAAUAAAUAUUCCAGAAUUAGGAAAUAAAAACAUCAUACAUGUGAAAACACAAGUUUCAAAAUAAAUCAAAUACUUACCUUAAAUAUUUUAUUAAGCUGAUCAAUUUCAGAUUUUCCAGGAAACAUAGCUUCCAUUCCCAGCAGCUCCCCAAAGAUACAUCCGACCGACCAAACGUCUAUGUGGGUCGAGUAUUGCUUGGCUCCAAGGAGCAGUUCAGGAGCACGAUACCACAGUGUAACUACAAUUGGCGUGAACUGCUUUAAUGGGGACCCAUAUUCUCGUGCAAGUCCGAAAUCGCCUACCUGAGAUUUUAAAAGGUAACAAACUUUUACAGUAGUAAAGAAACAACUGUAACAAUUUGAAAAGUUCAGGUCAGAAGCAAGCUAUUUACACUUGACAUUUGACAAGUUAAGAAGGCCAAAUGCAAACUAUUACACUUGAUAUCUUCCUGAAAAAUCCUAGCAAUUUCCCAGUGCCUUCCAUCAGUCCAUGUAGAGCCUCUUCAGAAUAUACAAGAGACUGAUUGAUGACCAUGUUGCUGUUGUAUCUCUAUCAUACACAUGAUCCAGCAGUUAUUUGAAAAGGUAAGCUAGGCUAGGAUGUAGGCCAAUGUAAUGUUGCAAGCAUGAUCGGGUUACACUAGGCUGUAGGCAAAUGUAACUAUUCUAUGCAUGAAUAUGGUAACCUACACUAUAAUUUUAUUAGGAAAAAGAAAGCAGAAGUCAAAUAACCACAAUUAUGGCUAGGCUGUUGUGUUUAUGAAGAAAAUGGAAUACAUUGCCAUGAUAAAAUGACAUGGCAAAUUACUCUAAAUGUAAUAGAAUAAGUAAUAUUUUAGAUUCUUAUACUUGGGCACUGUAUAUGAUGUGGAAUAAAGUGCAUACUUUACAUUGUUGACAUUAUAAAACCUUGUUUUAGGAAAAUAAAGUGCU